GCCUUUUUGGCUCAGUGGAUAGAGUGUUGGCCUGCAGAACAAAGGAUCUCUGGUUCAAUUCCGGAUAAGGGCA
rfam:Myotis brandtii contig197560, whole genome shotgun sequence.